CGCAGACCAGCUGGCUGGUGUGUUUACGGACAUAUUCAAUCAAUCCUUAUCCCAGUCUGCUGUUCCCACAUGCUUCAAGAGGGCCACCAUUGUUCCUGUUCCCAAGAAAGCUAAGGUAACUGAGCUAAACGACUACCGCACCGUACCACUCACUUCCGUCAUCAUGAAGUGCUUUGAGAGACUAGUCAAGGACCAUAUCACCUCCACCCUACCUGACACCCUAGACCCACUCCAAUUUGCUUACCGCCCCAAUAGGUCCACAGACGACGCAAUCGCAACCACACUGCACACUGCCCUAACCCAUCUGGACAAGAGGAAUACCUAUGUGAGAAUGCUGUUCAUCGACUACAGCUCAGCAUUUAACACCAUAGUACCCUCCAAACUUGUCAUCAAGCUCGAGACCCUGGGUCUCGACCCCGCCCUGUGCAACUGGGUACUGGACUUCCUGACGGGCCGCCCCCAGGUGGUGAGGGUAGGUAACAACAUCUCCACCCCGCUGAUCCUCAACACUGGGGCCCCACAAGGGUGCGUUCUGAGCCCUCUCCUGUACUCCCUGUUCACCCACGACUGCGUGGACAUGCACGCCUCCAACUCAAUCAUCAAGUUUGCGGACGACACUACAGUGGUAGGCUUGAUUACCAACAACGACGAGACGGCCUACAGGGAGGAGGUGAGGGCCCUCAGAGUGUGGUGUCAGGAAAAUAACCUCACACUCAACAUCAACAAAACAAAGGAGACGAUUGUGGACUUCCGGAAACAGCAGAGGGAGCACCCCCCUAUCCACAUCGACGGGACAGUAGUGGAGAGGGUAGUAAGUUUUAAGUUCCUCGGCGUACACAUCACGGACAAACUGAAUUGGUCCAUCCACACAGACAGCGUUGUGAAGAAGGCGCAGCAGCGCCUCUUCAACCUCAGGAGGCUGAAGAAAUUCAGCUUGUCACCAAAAGCACUCACAAACUUCUACAGAUGCACAAUCGAGAGCAUCCUGUCGGGCUGCAUCACCGCCUGGUACGGCAACUGCUCCGCCCACAACCGUAAGGCUCUCCAGAGGGUAGUGAGGUCUGCACAACGCAUCACCGGGGGCAAACUACCUA
ensembl:lncRNA